UCCUCCAGAGUCCGGCGCAGCAGAGAGCGUGGAAGAGGUUCCGGCUGGCAGGAGUGAAACAUUGCGAAGGUUGUUUGAAAUCUCUGAAAUAAACGGCUUAUUAAAGGUGUGAGAAAUAUCAUCUCGGGGAGGAGGGUUCCUAUUCAUAACUAUAAGGAUUAAGGAAUCGAGUUUCUCGCAUCUAUUGCGGGUCCAUGAUCCCGACCACCUCAGCGACUUUGUGGAUCCUCUAGCGUGGCCUCAAUGAUCCGACAGCCUUGCGGUCCAAGUCACGGGACCGGCCCAGACCCACGACCCAUUCUCGAGAGGACCAACGGGGAUGAGACCUCGGAAGAGCAGAGUCCCGACAUGGACUCUCCCUCAACGCUUCCCGCUCCCCCUGCGGACAUGCUCCGCAAUCGACCUGACUCCUUCAUCCGGGACUCUUGGACAGGAAGUGAUGACCUGGGCUCUGAGUUGGGCUCUGACUGGUCACACAGCACUCGAUCCUAUGGAAGUCUUCCAGCCUGGCCACCUUACCACGUCAAGCCAUAUCUCCCACUGCCCAGCGACCAUUCCCUCCCUCCCAUUGAACUCCGACCCUUCGUCAUCAACCCUGAUCGCCAACAAAUGCUGUCUUUCUCCAGUGGUGAAGACUGUUGCAGCCACGACACUGAUGACAUCAGUGAGCAAGCAACCUGCCCGAUCAUGAAGACCCAAAUCUCGAAAUGGAAUAUUGCUUUCCAUGUUUGUUGCGGUGUUUGUAUUUUGUCUUUUCCUGAACAUUUUUGUCCAUUUUUGUGCGGAAGGAGUAAUUUGAUGGGAUAAUUGUGUCGGGAAGAUAUGUAAUCCUCCUGCCGACAGGAGAGCCAUGAACUUAAGCAGACGUUAAUGAAUGGGCAUGAAAGCUCGUCAAUUUCACUUCAUUUUAAACCGUUGCCAUGAUUUACUUGAUUACAUUUUUCUACAUUUAUUUACUUCAUUAGAUUGAGUUGAUUAUAUUUAUUGCUAAAGAAGAAGCGUCCAGUCCGUCCGUCCGUGCAUCAGUUUGUCGCGCUUUAUUCUGCAGCAUUCCUGCUGUCGCGGAUUAAUAAAAAAUGAUAAUGUUGGAAAACUAAUGUUACUUGGUUGAAAGCUAAUAAUCCAUUUACUUGGAACAAAAAUUUGUGUCCGUUUAGUCUCAAAGGUGCCCGUUUUGAAAAUCCCCUUCCUGAGAUUGAAGACGAAGAAGCAGACAUUGGAGCUUUAUGUAGCGAGCGGUUCGAACAGCAACAUUUAGUAUUGUAUGACGGCAGGAACCCUCCAGAAGGACACGGAAGGAGAACACAAAAUUUCACAGAUGUAUGUCAAAUAUUUAAAGUUCAUUUCUGAUAUUAAAGAUCGGUACCUUCCGGGUGACGUAGAAAGCUGAAAUUUUGCGGGCCGAUGGACAUCGAAGCCGAUGCACCGGGAAAAAUCACAGAACCGUUGGAAAUCAUCCGUCAAUUUAAAUAUAAAUAAAUGGAAAAAAAAACAAUUGCAGGUGAGCGAACCGAGACAAUGGGGAAGCACAAUUCGUUAUUGCUGACAAUGUAAAAUACCCCACGAGUAAAGAAAUAUUUCUCGAAGCAAGAGAAGAAAAAAAAAAACAUAUGAAAGUACAAACAAUAGCAACAAUCACAGUCACCAUGACAACAGCAUUAAUGUAUUAUUUCCAAAAAAAAUCCGUUUUACGCGUUUCACUUCAUUUUACAUCCUCAAUGAGAGUCGUGGAUAAACUUGCAAUGAGUUUGUGAAGUACAACAUGCUUUCGUGUGAUUAAUCCCAUCAGUGAAGCGUCGGGAGGCAGGUCGAGUCUAUAUUAUAUAAUGAGCCGCAUCUGUCUGUCUGUCGUGUUAUAACUUGAGAACGACUUAACGGAUUUCAAUGAAUCCAACGACGGUGGAUUCAGGGAUCUUCCAGGAAGGUUUGUGAUGCAAAAAAUAAAAUGAAAAGGAAGGACGGUUUGUGUAUGGGUGUUUGUGUAUGCACACGUGACGAAACCGCAAAUGCCAACUUGUGAUGCUGGUUAUCCACGCAUGGAGGGCAAGAUCUCCCAGGAAUCCUUUUUUGGUCUUGCUCCAUAAAUUAGCCAUCGAAGCAAAGAUUGGUAUUCCCGUCAACAAAGCGACCAGUCUUAUAUGUUAGUAAUAAUAAAAAGACUACUCCCACCACGUUUUGUAGAUGACCAUCUUAACGCUCCUCUAACUAGAGCCCACAACUACUUUAUUCAUGUUAUUUACUAAAGUACUUACCUCAUAAUUCUGCUACAUUGACAUAUUAAACCACAUGGUUGAGAGUGAGUUUGAGAAUUCUCCAACAGAGUCAAAACUGCCGGUAUAUUUGGGCCCAUUGGAAAAUGGCGUGCAUGAGAGUUGUUGACUUUUCUGAAGCAAUGUGGUUGGAAACACUUUGGUCAUCUGGAUAGUUCUCAUGUGCGGUGAAUUGGAUGGUGUCAUUUCCAGUGGUGGCAUUGCCCCCAGGAGGGUGACAUUGAGAAGGUGGACGGGGGUUGUUGGGUGGAGAGAGGGGGGAAUUGUGAGAUUGACUAACAGGAUGAGGAAAAGGCAAUAUAAUUGUCAAUGACACAAUGAAAGUAAAGACUACGUGGAAACGAAAAGGAUAACAAUAAUGUCGCAGCCAGGUUAACAGGUGAGGAUGAAACAACAAAUCAAUUUCAUGUCAUCAUGCCAUAUUUGAUUUUUCACAUUAAUCGCUGUUUUUAAAGGGCACUCUGCAGUAAUACAACUGGUGGUGCACACAUUUGUUUGUGUAAUCCAUAGUUUCCAUGGCAACAGCAUCUACAUGCUAAUUGUACUGCACAGCCAGAUGGGAUGGUAUGUGCUGAAACAGGUGGGACUGAAGGGAGGGGCAAGAAGGAAUGAGUGUACAAAGUAGGAAGGCCCUGCACAAACAGAGCAGUGUGGAAGCACAAGAGGUCACAGUAGACAACGACCAGUGUGCUUCCUCCAGGAUGCAUCUCAUGUAGAAGUGCAGACAAGGUAAGCUUCAACGUGGAGUCGUUUUGGAUUAAGUCUUGCCCUAUGCUACUGUUCUGAUGGACUCAAAAUGACAUUUGUUGCAUUAUACUUGAUCUUAGCUCAUAGUCGUGACCUUGUGUGUAUGUGUGUGUGUGUGUGUGUGUGUGUGUGUGUGUGUGUGUGUGUGUGUGUGUGUGUGUGUGUGUGUGUGUGUGUGUGUGUGUGUGUGUGUGUGUGUGUGUGUGUGUGUGUGUGUGUCUUGGUUACCCUUCAUAUCCAAAUAUAUAAAGCUCUUUCUAACCACUGACUCACUCA
ensembl:lincRNA